rnacentral:rRNA from 1 species
AAAUGAAUUGACGGGGGCCCGCACAAGCAGUGGAGUAUGUGGUUUAAUUCGAAGCAACGCGAAGAACCUUACCAAGCCUUGACAUCUCCUGCAUAGCCAAGAGAUUGGUGAAGCCCUUCGGGGCAGGAAGACAGGUGGUGCAUGGUUGUCGUCAGCUCGUGUCGUGAGAUGUUGGGUUAAGUCCCGCAACGAGCGCAACCCCUGCCGAUAGUUACUACGAGGAGAGGACUCUAUCGGGACCGCCGUUGACAAAACGGAGGAAGGAGGGGAUGAUGUCAAAUCAUCAUGCCCUUUAUGGCUUGGGCUACACACGUACUACAAUGGCCGUUAACAGAGGGGAACGAAGGGGUGACCCGGAGGGAAUCCGCUAAAAACGGUCUCAGUUCGGAUUGGAGGCUGCAACUCGCCUCCAUGAAGUCGGAAUUGCUAGUAAUCGCGGAUCAUCAUGCCGCGGUGAAUACGUUCCCGGGCCUUGUACACACCGCCCGU